rnacentral:rRNA from 1 species
UACAGAGGGGGCAAGCGUUAUUCGGAAUUAUUGGGCGUAAAGGGCGCGUAGGCGGCUUGGCAAGUGGAUGGUGAAAUCCCUCGGCUUAACCGAGGAACUGCCGUCCAAACUGCUUCGCUUGAGACCGGGAGAGGUGAGUCGGAAUUCCCAGUGUAGCGGUAGAAAUGCGUAGAUAUUGGGAGGAACACCAGUGGCGAAGGCGGCUCACUGGACCGGUACUGACGCUGAUGCGCGAAAGCGUGGGGAGCAAACGGG